rnacentral:rRNA from 1 species
AUUGAACGCUGGCGGCAGGCCUAACACAUGCAAGUCGAGCGGAUGAAGGGAGCUUGCUCCUGGAUUCAGCGGCGGACGGGUGAGUAAUGCCUAGGAAUCUGCCUGGUAGUGGGGGAUAACGUCCGGAAACGGGCGCUAAUACCGCAUACGUCCUGAGGGAGAAAGUGGGGGAUCUUCGGACCUCACGCUAUCAGAUGAGCCUAGGUCGGAUUAGCUAUUUGGUGGGGUAAAGGCCUACCAAGGCGACGAUCCGUAACUGGUCUGAGAGGAUGAUCAGUCACACUGGAUCUGAGACACGGUCCAGACUCCUACGGGAGGCAGCAGUGGGGAAUAUUGGACAAUGGGCGAAAGCCUGAUCCAGCCAUGCCGCGUGUGUGAAGAAGGUCUUCGGAUUGUAAAGCACUUUAAGUUGGGAGGAAGGGCAGUAAGUUAAUACCUUGCUGUUUUGACGUUACCAACAGAAUAAGCACCGGCUAACUUCGUG